rnacentral:rRNA from 1 species
UACGUAGGGGGCUAGCGUUGUCCGGAUUUAUUGGGCGUAAAGAGCGUGUAGGCGGCCAGGUAGGUCUGCUGUGAAAACUCGAGGCUCAACCUCGAGACGUCGGCGGAAACCAUCUGGCUAGAGUCCGGAAGAGGAGAGUGGAAUUCCUGGUGUAGCGGUGAAAUACGCAGAUAUCAGGAAGAACACCCGUGGCGAAGGCGGCUCUCUGGGACGGUACUGACGCUGAGACGCGAAAGCGUGGGGAGCGAACAGG